rnacentral:rRNA from 1 species
CAGUCGCCGCGGGAAUACGUAGGGUGCAAGCGUUAAUCGGAAUUACUGGGCGUAAAGCGUGCGCAGGCGGUUAUAUAAGUCAGAUGUGAAAUCCCCGGGCUCAACCUGGGAACUGCAUUUGAGACUGUAUGGCUAGAGUGUGCCAGAGGGGGGUAGAAUUCCACGUGUAGCAGUGAAAUGCGUAGAUAUGUGGAGGAAUACCGAUGGCGAAGGCAGCCCCCUGGGAUAACACUGACGCUCAUGCACGAAAGCGUGGGGAGCAAACAGGAUUAGAUACCCCUGUAGUCCCUGUCUCUUAUAC